rnacentral:misc_RNA from 1 species
GAUGAAGAACGUAGCGAAAUGCGAUAAGUAAUGUGAAUUGCAGAAUUCAGUGAAUCAUCGGAUCUUUGAACGCACAUUGCGCCCCUUGGUAUUCCGGGGGGCAUGCCUGUUCGAGCGUCAUUUCAACCCUCAAGCUCUGCUUGGUAUUGGGCACCGUCCUUUGCGGGCGCGCCUCAAAGACCUCGGCGGUGGCGUCUUGCCUCAAGCGUAGUAGAAUACACCUCGCUUCGGAGCGUAAGGCGUCGCCCGCCGGACGAACCUUCUGAACUUUUCUCAAGGUUGACCUCGGAUCAGGUAGGGAUACCCGCUGAACUUAAGCAUAUCAAUAAGCGGAGGA